UGGGUAGGUAUGGAAGGUAGUAUGGACCCGUACUACUGAAAGCACAGGACCUAUACGCGUAGCAAGGAAGUCAAAACCCCUAGGAUUUAGUUAGGACUUGGUUCCCUGUUAUUGUGCGAAUUAUCUGAUAUCUUCCUGGUGUAUUUUUCAGUAUGGUGGUUACGAGGCAUUUUGUGAUUGGAUCCGGAUCGGGAUCAGGGCAAGGCGGUCAGGAUGCCCCGACAACGCCCGAGACUAUCGGCCAGGGUGGGCCAGUGUUGACAGAGGAUCAUGUUAAGGAGAUCAUCCGUGAGGAGGUAAUCGAGAUUGUCCGGGGACAGAUUACAGAGAUGUUUAGGUCUAUUAAGACUGCCAUGAUGGAUUAUUUUGAUAACAUAUAUGCAGCCCUAGCUGAGGCGGUUGCCGCAGCAGCUGUAACAGCGGCAAGGGGAGGAGCCAGUAGGGGUUUUCAGUACCGGGACUUCGAUAACAUGAAGUCCCCGACUUUCGUUGGGACUCGAGAUCCGAUCAUAGACAUGAGGUGGAUGUCUGACGUAAAGGGAUGUUUCUUCAUGUGCUUAUGACCUGCUGACCAGAAGGUCAGAUGUGCCAAGAACAUGCUGAGGUCCGGGGCAAAGGACUAGUGGAGAUUGGUGACUGGAUCGUAUACGGAUGAUCAGAGAGCUACAGUUACUUGGGAACGGUUAAGAGAUAUGUUCCAAGCUCACUACACUCCACGAUUCGAGCGCGAGCGGCUAUCACAGGAGUUUUUGGAUUUGAGACAGGGUACGGAGUCGGUAACGGAGAUCACCCACAUGUUCACUGAGAGGGAGAUGUUUUGCCCGGAGUUUUCUUCCGAGCAGUCUCAGAUGACAUUUUAUCUAAGCAUGAUCAAGACUGACAUCCGUCAGUUUGUUGCUACUGUGAUACACUACUUGAGUUACAGGAGUCCGUUAGGCAGCGUGAGCUGGAGAUUGAGAUAAAGUUACAAGAGUAAAGGCAGGCCCCAGUGCAGUCACAACCGAUGCCAAAGCAGUCCAAGACCAUUGAUACUAGGUCUGGGGAACAGCCGGGCCACACUUGUGGGAAGUACGGAAAGGCUCAUUCGGGGUUUUGCUGAUCGGGGAGUGGGUUCCGCAAAUGUGGCAAGCAGGGCCAUCUUUCCAGGGAUUGUAGGCAGCAGACUCCAGCUCGCAGGGUCCCACCUUGUUACCAUUAUGAGCAGGUGGGCCGUCUGAAGGCCCAGUGUCCCCUACCAGCCACCAAGUCGGCGCAGGAUCCAGCGCCGGCUACAUUGAGGAUUACUGACGGGAGUCAGGGUAGAGCAGCGCUCCCGAGGGCACAGGAAUGCGCCUUCCAGCUUACGGUAGAGGAGGCCAGGGCAGCACCAGAUAUGGUUGCUGGUAAUUCAGGAGAUCAUGGCAAGGUGAAGGUGUGACCGUACUGCUCCUCAUCCUUGUAAUCUGGCUUCUAGGACACUCUGAUGGAAUAAUGAUUUGAAAACAUUUUCCUGUAAACAAUACUAUUGGGUUUUAUUUGUGAUUGAAAAAGUUUAAAUUUGGCGUAAAA